ACCUGGCGGUCUUGUGUGGCCGUCCAGGGGUGUUGCGUUCCGGUGCGUCCUUGCCGCCCGAGUUGCUCACCGCCUAAGUCAUUGCUUGAAAGCAGCCCCGAGGAGGGUGAUAGGCCCGUGUGGUGGCGCCUGUAAAAAGGGUGAAGGUGGCUUGGGCGGGCGGACGUCCACCGUAGAGUCGGGUUGCUUAGUACUGCAGCCCUAAGCAGGUGGUAAACUCCAUCUAAGGCUAAAUACUACCACGAGUCCGAUAGAGAACAAGUACCGUGAGGGAAAGCUGAAAAGGACUUUGAAGAGAGAGUUCAAGAGGACGUGAAACCGUUAGAAGCCUAAACGGGUGGAACCGCGAAGGUUGAACGAGGGGAUUCAGGUCGCCGGUGGCCGGAGUGCGGAGGGCGGGUCAGACAUGUUUUGACGACGUGACCCGGCGCGAGAGUGCGGCCGGGCCCCGCCGCCGCCUCCGGGCCAUCCGGCGGGCUUACUUCUCCCUCGGGAAGUCGCCGCGACCCGUUCCUGGGAGCCCCAGGGCCGCAUCGCAUUGGUAUGCCGGGC
rnacentral:rRNA from 1 species